rnacentral:rRNA from 1 species
UACGGGGGAGCAAGCGUUGUUCGGAUUUACUGGGCGUAAAGGGCGCGGUAGGCGGUCAGCACAAGUCAGUUGUGAAAUCUACCGGGCUUAACUCGGAAAGGUCAACUGAUACUGUGCGACUAGAGUGCAGAAGGGGCAACUGGAAUUCUCGGUGUAGCGGUGAAAAUGCGUAGAUAUCGAGAGGAACACCUGCGGCGAAGGCGGGUUGCUGGGCUGACACUGACGCUGAUGCGACGAAGCCAGGGAGCGAACGGG